rnacentral:rRNA from 1 species
UACGAAGGGGGCUAGCGUUGUUCGGAAUUACUGGGCGUAAAGCGCGCGCAGGCGGUCCUGUAUGUGCCGUGUGAAAGCGCCGGACUAAUCCCGGCGAGGUCAUGGUAGACAGCAGGACUGGAGCCUCAGAGAGGUCGAUGGAAUUCCGGGUGGAGCGGUGAAAUGCGCAGAUAUCAGGAGGAACACCGGUGGCGAAGGCGGGUCUCUAGGCCGACACUGACGCUGAGGAGCGAAAGCGUGGGGAGCGAACAGG